rnacentral:tRNA from 1 species
GGCCCCAUCGUCUAAUGGUUAGGACAGCAUUCUUUCAAGAUGUAGAUAUGGGUUCGAUUCCCGUUGGGGCCGCUA